rnacentral:rRNA from 1 species
AUUGAACGCUGGCGGCAGGCCUAACACAUGCAAGUCGAACGAGUGGCGGACGGGUGAGUAAUGUCUGGGAAACUGCCUGAUGGAGGGGGAUAACUACUGGAAACGGUAGCUAAUACCGCAUACCAUCGGAUGUGCCCAGAUGGGAUUAGCUAGUAGGUGGGGUAAAGGCUCACCUAGGCGACGAUCCCUAGCUGGUCUGAGAGGAUGACCAGCAAGACUGGAACUAGGAAGCGGUUCAGACUCGUACGGGAGGCAGCAGUGGUGAAUAUUGGACAAUGGGCGCAAGCCUGAUGCAGCCAUGCAGCGUGUAUGAAGAAGGCCUUCGGGUUGUAAAGUACGUUCAGCGGGGAGGCGUUACCCACGGAAGAAGCACCGGCUAACUCCGUGCCAGCAGCCGCGGUAAUAC